CCAGAUAGUUUCCCCAGUGUCUUCAUGGCCCCCCUCCAACUCUGAUAGAAAUGGCUCAGCAAAUACCAAUCCACCCCCUCUUGCUGAGACCGCCAUGAACAGAGAGAGUGGAAUAGUACCAGGUGCGAUUGCUGCAGCAGUGUUCAUAGGCUUUCUGUUAGCCCUCUAUGCUGCUCUUUGGAAAUGUAUGGUUACGCAACCGAAAAGGAGGGAAAAAAGAGCAAGACUGAAGGCUCGUGAACACAGGUCUCUUACAUGCUGACCUCUGAACGGGACGUCCGCCUGUCUACCAGAGAUUCUGAGUUACUGAUGUUAAGUCGGAGCUUCUCCUGGUGUGAAGCACCCUCAUGAAACGUGUUUAGGUAUUAACGCACAGUUUGAGACAAUAUUUCAUGCAGGAGGGAACUAGAUGCUUCAGAUGCUUCAGUCACCUAUCAGGUUCUGGAUUGGUAUGUUUGACAGAGCAGUGUAUGUUAUUCAGUUAGACCAGAGAGUUACAUUUUAGAAAAUGGUUUUAAAAAUGUAAAUGUAGUCAUUAAACUAAGUGAUUUUGUGUAUAUUGUGUGUAUACAUAGGGAAUAGCAAGCCCAAAUGUGCUCUUGAAGUGUGUACGAAUGUUUUACUUUGUCACAACAAAACAAAUGUCCACUAGAUGGCAGAUGGCUCAAUGUUUUUUUUUUUACUUUUUACUUGAUGAAACAAGAAUCAGCCAAGAUAUACAGUCUUUCAGUCUUUAGAGGUUUAUCUUUAUAGACUUAUGUGUUUCGGACGUUUAUUUUAUUGCUGAUAGCUAUGCUAAUUAAUUCAUGAAUGAUAUAAUCAAU